UACGUAGGUGACCAGCGUUGUCCGGAUUUACUGGGCGUAAAGAGCGCGCAGGCGGUCGUUCAAGUCGAGUGUGAAAGCCCCCGGCUCAACUGGGGAGGGUCACGCGAUACUGAUCGACUGGAAGGCAGGAGAGGGUAGUGGAAUUCCCGGUGUAGUGGUGAAAUGCGUAGAUAUCGGGAGGAACACCAGUGGCGAAGGCGACUACCUGGCCUGUUCUUGACGCUGAGGCGCGAAAGCUAGGGGAGCAAACGGGG
rnacentral:rRNA from 1 species